rnacentral:rRNA from 1 species
GCGUCACUGAUGGAUGGACCCGCGGUGCAUUAGCUAGUUGGUGAGGUAACGGCUCACCAAGGCCACGAUGCAUAGCCGACCUGAGAGGGUGAUCGGCCACACUGGGACUGAGACACGGCCCAGACUCCUACGGGAGGCAGCAGUAGGGAAUCUUCGGCAAUGGACGAAAGUCUGACCGAGCAACGCCGCGUGAGUGAAGAAGGUUUUCGGAUCGUAAAACUCUGUUGUUAGAGAAGAACAAGGAUGAGAGUAGAACGUUCAUCCCUUGACGGUAUCUAACCAGAAAGCCACGGCUAACUACGUGCCAGCAGCCGCGGUAAUACGUAGGUGGCAAGCGUUGUCCGGAUUUAUUGGGCGUAAAGCGAGCGCAGGCGGUUUCUUAAGU